GGAGGGUGCGAGCGUUAAUCGGAAUUACUGGGCGUAAAGCGCGCGCAGGCGGCUGGGUCAGUCGGAUGUGAAAGCCCCGGGGCUUAACCUGGGAAUUGCAUUCGAUACUGCCCGGCUAGAGUAUGGGAGAGGGAAGUGGAAUUUCCGGUGUAGCGGUGAAAUGCGUAGAUAUCGGAAGGAACACCAGUGGCGAAGGCGGCUUCCUGGCCCAAUACUGACGCUCAGGUGCGAAAGCGUGGGGAGCGAACAGGAUUAGAUACCCUGGUAGUCCACGCUGUAAACGAUGAGAACUAGAUGUUGGGAGGGUUAGCCUCUCAGUGUCGCAGCUAACGCGUUAAGUUCUCCGCCUGGGGAGUACGACCGCAAGGUUG
rnacentral:rRNA from 1 species